AACGAACGCUGGCGGCAGGCUUAACACAUGCAAGUCGAGCGCCCAGCAAUGGGAGCGGCGGACGGGUGAGUAACACGUGGGAAUGUGCCUUUCGGUACGGAACAACUCAGGGAAACUUGAGCUAAUGCCGUAUACGCCCUUACGGGGAAAGAUUUAUCGCCGAAAGAUUAGCCCGCGUCUGAUUAGCUUGUUGGUGAGGUAACGGCUCACCAAGGCGACGAUCAGUAGCUGGUUUGAGAGAACGACCAGCCACACUGGGACUGAGACACGGCCCAGACUCCUACGGGAGGCGGCAGUGGGGAAUCUUGGACAAUGGGGGAAACCCUGAUCCAGCCAUACCGCGUGAGUGAUGAAGGCCUUCGGGUUGUAAAACUCUUUCGACGGGGACGAUAAUGACGGUACCCGUAGAAGAAGCUCCGGCUAACUUCGUGCCAGCAGCCGCCGUAACAC
rnacentral:rRNA from 1 species